CCUACUUUCAAGAUUCUCAAGGACAGCAAGAUUGUAAAGGAAGUGACGGGGGCCAAAUUUGAUGAUUUGGUGGUUGCCAUAGAGGCUGUUAGAUCCAGCUGAAUCUCCUUUCUCCUGUAAAAAAAAGUAAAAUACUUGAUAAGUACCAAGGACCAAUGGGCGGCUCCAAAAUCUGAAAAAUAAUGAUGUCUGCUUUAAUGUAUCCAUUGAACCUUUUCCCUGGGAAUCCAUAUUGGUUGAGAACAGGUAAAAUGAGAUUAUGUUCUGCUUCAGGGAGAAUAGAAAUGAGGUAUGAAAAAAAAAAUCAUUUUAAUUGUUUCCGUUUCCCUGAAGUAGUAGUAUCCAUGAAAAAAGAAUGAUGUAAAUGCCACUGAAGCUAUUGUGAAUCGAUUUUAAUUAACUGAAUAGAAUUUCUUUUUUCAUGGAUACUACUACUUC
rnacentral:misc_RNA from 1 species